CCUGAGCACAGCGAGGACCGGAUGCUGUGGCCCUCCGCUCACAUAUGGCCCCCCCUCGGGCCCACCUCAGGGGGCGGCCCAGAGAGGGAAGGAAGGGGACGAGGUCUCCCGCACUCAGAGCCUGGGAUGGGGAGCCCCGCCGGGCCUGGGCACGUGCGGAGGGGCACAGGGAGGAGCCUGGAGGGGGAGAGCCACCCUGGGGCCCAGGCUUUGUGGCGCCUGAAUGGAGAAAGCACAAAUGGCAGCUCCUUCCCCUGCCAGCUCCUGGCUCUCGGCCCCUGCCCCAGGUGGGGAGAAAGGAUCCUUACUUAGGCCGAUGGCACAGCAGAGUCUGGGCCCCACUGGUGAAGGUGGGGGUCUGGAGGCAGCCAGGGCCCCAGGGACUCAGGGACAGCCCCUCAGGGCAGGGCUGGGAGGUGGGACGUAGCUCUCCUACAACUCUCCGGUCCUGGCAUCUGGGGCCCCCAUCUACCCAGGGCGAAGAACCCCCCCCAGCCUGAUCCCCCCACCCCAACCAAUUCGGGCUGCCCCCCAUUCCAGGCUCGGAGCCACCAGGUGGUGGGCAGAAGCUUCCAGAUAAAGCCAUUCAAGGUGAGGCAGCAGCAGAAGCAGAAGCAGGGGAGAGAGGAGUGAGACCAGAGAACCAAAGAACCAGCAGGAGAGGACCCGGAGGAAGACCAAAGCCAGAGCUAGCUCCGUCCUGGAGAGGGGUCUGUGUGUGGGUGGGGACGUGGGGGUGCCCACGGCUACACCCUCCAGGGCCCAGAAAACUCGGCGUGGGAGGCGGCGCCAUCCCCGGAGGGUGAGGGGCGGGGUGGCAGCGCUGGGCCAGGGCGAAGUGUUUUCCCGUGGAGUCUAAGCAAGAAUUGAGACUUCGGGGCAAGGGCAGUAAAAUCUGGUGGGGGGCUACUCUCUGUGGGCAGUGGAGGGCCAAGUGAGGCGGGGAGAGGAGCAGGAAGGUGGGACCCCCCCGCCUUUACUCCUGUCCUUAAAAGCAGGCUGGGGGCCAGGGUCAAGGUUGUGGCAUCCCACCACGGCGCCAGUGGUAAGGCCUCCCCUCUCCUCUCCUUUCUUUUGAGGGGGAGGCUUCCAAAUUCCACGGUUGGGAGCCUGCGGCCUAACUCGGGGCACCUCAGUCAAAGCUGCGGUUCUGCCUCUUUCCGCCCCAUGCAGGCUGCCCAGGAGGGACCAGUGUGUGCAGUGAACUGGGUUGUAACCUCACACCCGAUCCCAAGCGAAGCGGCCCUAGAACCCCUGAGUAUAUGGCAGCCCCCAUCUCGGUGGGGCUGGGGGUGGGGGCCCCGUGAGAUUUACACCAUGCUCCUCGGGGCCUGCUGGCUCAGGGUGGGGCCCGGGCCCUGGCCCGGGUGGGGGGCUGGCCGGCCCUCUGGCUGCUGGGUCCUGCUUGGGGCCUGGAGGAGUUGGUGCCACAGGCUGGUGGCCACGCUCCUAACCUUCUCCAGGGUCUCAAUCCGUUGUUUCAGGAGCCGGUUCUCCGUCCGAAGCCUCUAUGUGGGGAGAGGGGGGGGAGUGUGUCAGAACCCCACCCCGUUCCCCAUACACACAGAGGCCUGUCCCCUUAAGGGCCAGGUCGCCUCCUGGCAAGAUGGAGUCGUGGUCAGGUGUUCUGGGUCAGUGAUUCCAGAAAACAGGGCCAAUCCCUGUUCAGAAUGGCCCAUUAGAUUUUUUUUUUUUUUUAAAGAAUCCUUGGUUCACUUAAAACAAUGUGAUCGCUUUCAGGCGUCAGCAGUCAGCACCCACACCCACUUUCUCUGGAGUCUGUUUCCACCCCACACGGGGGCCUGCCAAAGGCCAAUGUGACACCUAUCACUGGGCAGACCCUUCCUCUGGGUCUGUCAGUCCCCGCCCCUCAUGGCUCUGCUUCGGGCACCAGAACGAACUGUUCUCAGAGUCUGGGUCCAGGGGAGGGGUUCUUGCUGAACACACAGGCUUCCUUCAGCGGGACAGCUACAUUUCUGUGAGCCACCAAAAAUCAGCUGUGCUCAAAAGCUGUCACUUCCCUCCAGCGGGGCGGUUCUGGAGGCAGUUUCCCUCGCUUUCCGCCUUCUCUCCUGCACUGAUGGAUUUGGGUUAGAUAUUUGUGGUUUUAAGUUCCCCGUGGCCUUUUGGGAAGCAGGUGAGCUUUAUAUAUGCCUUGCAUCGUAGCCUCUGCUAGGCACCCCUUACGAAGCGGGUACAGAUAGUUGGACCCAGAGUGUGUGCUGAAUGAACACCAACCAGAUCCUGCGUCUUCCUGAAGCCCCAGGCCCCACAUUCAUCCGUUAUUAAUGAGGGCCCCGCCUCCCUGUGGAUCACAAAGAACCUUUCCUGGUUUCUUCCCGGGAGAAAAAGGUGAUGGAAACACUCAGAACACUCCCAGGAGGCAACCGCGGUCAGAGAGAAUCAUAGACUCGAUUGAGGGUCAUUCACUGAUGUCACGGGUGGGGAAACUGAGUCCCAAGGGGGUGGUGGCUUGCCCGGGCCUCCCAGCUGGCCUGGGUUCGAUCUGUUUCGGGCAGGCUCUCUGCCCCAUAUCUGCGCUCCAGGGUCCUGAUCCUCGCCCCCGGCCCCUGCACUGCGCUGCCUUCUCUCUGGCCACGACCCACCACCGCAGAAUUGCAGAAUCGCAGAGAUCCCUGAGAAGCCGCAUGUGCCCGACUGACAACUCCCCUCUCUCCUGCUUACCCCAAAGGGAAAAUAAGAGACAGGGAGUGAACAGGGACUACAGGGUCAAGGCACACGCUGGGCUUUUUUUUUUUUUUCUUUUAAAUUUUCUGUAUUUUUGAUGCUUUGAUAUCCAGCCACCUUGCUAAUCUUGGAGAGAAUGCCUGGCCCUCGACUAGCCUUUCGUAUGCAAACCAGCCAAUACAGAGCCCACAGCCACCCACCUUCCCUAUAGCACUGACACACCCAGCCAGCGUUCUCCCUGCCCCAAAUUAUCCCAGGGCAACCGAGGACUCUCCUGUAGCCCACAGCUUCUGCUGAAAUUGUUCAGACCAACCAAUCCUGAACUCAAACUUGACGGCCUGCCUUGCCCAUUCCUUCCUGGGGAUGCCCAAUAAAGGAGCUGGCCCACGCUUUCCCUCUCUCACCCUCUGCAUCCUGACCCACUCUGACCCACUCGGGUGCUUCCCCACGUGGCCAGGUGUGGUGGGGCGUGCCCCCUCCUUUUGGCAACUAGGAGUAAUAAAUUCUUUCAAGGGCA